rnacentral:rRNA from 1 species
UAGGGAAUCUUCGGCAAUGGACGAAAGUCUGACCGAGCAACGCCGCGUGAGUGAAGAAGGUUUUCGGAUCGUAAAACUCUGUUGUUAGAGAAGAACAAGGACGUUAGUAACUGAACGUCCCCUGACGGUAUCUAACCAGAAAGCCACGGCUAACUACGUGCCAGCAGCCGCGGUAAUACGUAGGUGGCAAGCGUUGUCCGGAUUUAUUGGGCGUAAAGCGAGCGCAGGCGGUUUCUUAAGUCUGAUGUGAAAGCCCCCGGCUCAACCGGGGAGGGUCAUUGGAAACUGGGAGACUUGAGUGCAGAAGAGGAGAGUGGAAUUCCAUGAGUAGCGGUGAAAUGCGUAGAUAUAUGGAGGAACACCAGUGGCGAAGGCGGCUCUCUGGUCUGUAACUGACGCUGAGGCUCGAAAGCGUGGGGAGCAAACAGG